rnacentral:rRNA from 1 species
AGGCGGGCCGUCCGCCGCUCCCGGCGCCCGCCGCAACCGCCGCCGACCCCAGGCCGAAGCCCGACGGCCGCCGACACCACCAAGGAGAGGCAGCACCCGCACGCCGCCACCACGCCGAGCCGGCCACCGCCAGGCCGCUGGACCACUACCACCGGCCGCCACGCGCACAACCACCACGGAGGGAACCGCCGAAAGCCACACCCCUCCUUCCCCUCGUCGAACCUGUCCCCGCCGCCUCGGCUGCCGCACGGCCGACGUCGCGCUUCCGCCCUUGAAAUGCCCGGAGACGCAAGGGCCGACCCGGACACGCCGGUGCCCGGACCACACAAGGACGGUAACGCAGGCCAGUCGAUGGCAGAAGUCGCCACCUCCACCCCGGGAGGGCGCACGGCUACCACGACAACGGACCAGGGCCGAGGAGAAGAAGUAGCACGGCUGGUACGAAGUGCCACGGCACCACUCUGUCGCAACUUGCGAAGCACAGGCCCGACCGCGUCCCACUCCCAGACAAACCGCCGCUCGAAGCCUCACGGACUCCACCUCCAACCCUAGCCCUCUUUAGAGACAACCGGACCGGCUGUAGCUGCGCCACCACGAACACCCACGGCGGUCUGGAAGGACCUCCCGCAGCCUCGAUGGGAAGGAGAGGGGAGUGGCAUGGCCCCCUUUGGGAACCGUCGUCGCAGCAGAAGCAGCGCAAGGAAGAACCUCCACAACUAACCAUGGCCACGAAGCCUCCGAGCCUCAGACCACCCUCUAGAGGCCACCCACGUCGCCGGUGCUCCGAAGAAGUAAAGAAACAGCUAGGCGGCAACAGCCGCAAACAAAGAGAACAUAAAAGAGAAAGAAAAGAA